AAUAAAUUUUUUAUGGUUUAUAAAAUUUAUUAUAAGUUUAUUUUACAUAUAAAUUUUAGUGUUAAUUAUUAAUUAUUUUAAUAAUAAUUGAUAUAUAUUGUAGUAAUUAAUUUUAAAAAUUUAAGAAAUUAAGAUUUAGUAAUAUUUAAAUUAAUAACUAAUUUUGUGCCAGCAGUUGCGGUUAUACAAAAAUUGAUUUAAAUUUUUUUAGUUUUAAUUAAUAGUAUUUAUUUAAUUUAAAAUUUAAAUUAUUAAGUGAAAUUUUAAUUUAAUAAAAAAUUAUUAUAAAAUUAUGUUUUAAUAAAUUUUAUAAAAAACUAGGAUUAGAUACCCUAUUAUUAAAAAUUUAAAUUAAUAAUACUAAAAUAGUAAUUAAUUAUUUAUUGAAACUUAAAUAAUUUGGCGGUAUUUUAGUUUAUUUAGAGGAAUCUGUUUAAUAAUUGAUAUUCCACGAAUAAAUUUACUUAAUUUAAAAUUUUGUAUAUCGUUGUUAUAAAAAUAUUUUAUAAUAAUAAUAAUAUUUAAAAAUUUAUAAUUAAAAUUAAAUCAGAUCAAGAUGCAGAUUAUAAUUAAGAAUAUAAUGGAUUACAAUAAAUUUAUUUAAAUUGAAUUUUGAUAUGAAAUUUAUUAAAUGAAAUUGGAUUUAAAUGUAAUUUUAUUUAAAUUAAUAAAAUGAUUUAAAAUUAAAAUAUGUACAUAUUGCCCGUCGCUUUCAUUAAUAAGUUGAAAUAAGUCGUAACAAAGUAGAGGUACUGGAAAGUGUUUCUAGAAAGU
rnacentral:ncRNA from 1 species